rnacentral:rRNA from 1 species
AGAGACAGCAGCCGCCGCGGUAAUACGAAGGGGGCUAGCGUUGCUCGGAAUCACUGGGCGUAAAGGGUGCGUAGGCGGGUCUUUAAGUCAGGGGUGAAAUCCUGGAGCUCAACUCCAGAACUGCCUUUGAUACUGAAGAUCUUGAGUUCGGGAGAGGUGAGUGGAACUGCGAGUGUAGAGGUGAAAUUCGUAGAUAUUCGCAAGAACACCAGUGGCGAAGGCGGCUCACUGGCCCGAUACUGACGCUGAGGCACGAAAGCGUGGGGAGCAAACAGGAUUAGAUACCCCUGUAGUCCCUGUCUCUUAUAC